CCCGCACCACAACCUCGCCCGCUCCACUUCCCAGCGGACACCGAUCCUCACCCGUCGCCCGCCCCAUCCGCCGCCCGCCGAUCCACUCGGCCUCCACCGCCGCCCGCCGCCCUAAAUCCUCGCCCUCCUCCUCCGCCACCGCUCAGCUUGGCCUCCUCCGCCGCGCGCGAGGAGGUGGAGGAUGAGCGCGGCGUCCCGAAAGGCGGCGAGGCGGAGGCGGUGGAGUAACGAGAUGGCUGCCGGGUCCUGCUUCCUUGCGGUGGGGAGGGUCGAGGUGGAGGCCGGGUUCUGCUUCCUUGCGACGCGCGCGGGUCUAGGUGGAGGCGGAGGCGGCGAGGAGGGUCGAGGUGGGUGCCGGGUUCUGCUUCCUUGCGGUGUGCGGUGACGCCGGCUGCUGCCGCCGAUCCAGCGCUGCUUGCACGGUGGCGCGAGAGACCGCUGCCCACCCCCAGUCGCAUUCCACAAACGCACGCCUCUCCCAACUCAGGCCAUCCCCAAACAGCGACCACGACGCCCCACCGCUGGCCCCUUCGCGGCCACACUCCCCACGACGCCUGCCGGUUCUCCGCCGCCUCGCCUAGGCCGUCUUGGAACUGCCGCCGUCGCAGCUACAGUCAGGUUACCAUCACUUCCUAUUCUUAGUUCUGAUCUCUGUAUGUCCUUAGCAGUAUGUAUACAGUUGUGGUAUACUUCAAUGAACUGGGAGUUGCCCGUGUGUAGCUUCAUAGGUGUUGACAUCUGUUGCAAUUCGUGUCACAUUGAGCCAGUUUUAUGUUAGUGAUCUAAAUGCUCUUAUUUUAGUUUACAGAGGGAGUACCGGCUACCGAUCUGUCGCAUUUUAUCCACCAUGUCAUGCUUGCUCUCUAUGUCAUCUUGUGUCUUUGAAUAAAUUUCAUUUUGCUUGCUGCAAUAGCAGUAGACUGAUCUGUCCUCAGUUUUGAGGUUAGGCCAAUUAGAGCGAAAUGCAGUUAAACGCAAGAAGUAGUUUUAACUGGUGAAACUGAAUAUUAUUCUUUGUAGAGACAUGCCUUCUUGAUUGAUGAACAGGUUAUCCAUGUUCAGGUAAAUGUCAUGCGUCUUUUCUGAACAUUGUGGUCGUGCUCCACAAUUCAGAUACUAUUGUCAGUUAUUGUAGUGAUAUAGUGUUCAUCUACUACUACCCUUAUAAAAGCAUGAAGUUUAGAUCUUUGUGUUGUGCUGAAAUUCGUGCAUAUCUUUGUAUACUGGAUUAUUCGAUAAGUUGUGCUAUUUAUGUUGAAAUAAUAUGAAAUUAUAUGCAAAGCUCUGCAACUGCCUUGAGUAGGUGAUAGUUAAGAAGAACAUAGUAUGUGAUGGUCCAAUAAGGAAGAAAUGUAAGUCGACAGUGCUGCUGAUGGGUGGCACUGAUAGUCCCAACGCCUUUGCUCUUGGAUCAUUAUUCAAGCUUAUUUUUUCCUACAACAAGAAAGAGGAUGCUGAAGGAGGUAUUGCAACUAGAAAGGUAUCUGGUUUACAACUUGAUUAUGAACUUUGUUCAAACAUGCAUGGUUGUUUUAUCCUCUGAAGACAAUAUAAAAGCUUUUGCCAUUUAUUACUUUUUAAAGUUCCAUAAACUGAAUAAUCUUUAGAAUGCAAGUAAGUAUUUUCAUAUUGAAACUGUUCAUCCAUUGAUACAUUCUUUUCCUACUCUUCUGCAUCUGAAAUAUUUCCAAUUAUCACGCUGAAAGGAAGACUUUUCUUGCUCUUCUACUGAAUAAACAAGAGCGUCAUAGUAUGUAGCUCAAUGAUGCUUAGGUAGUGGUAAUUAUUUAUUGGCAUAGUGUUUGUCUGUUUCUCAUCAAUGAGCUCAUCAUGGAUUUUUUUAAAUGCCAAGGCAUUUAUUUUGUAGAGUUUGAUGCUGUUAUUGUUAUCUAGCAUCAUAUGAUUUCAUAGAAUUUGACGGAAGUUAUGUUGAUCCCUUGCUUAAAGAAUUUUUAGCAAGAAAGCAGAUCCUAUUUGUUUCUCAUUACUUAGAUAAAAAACGGAACAAGUGAACUCCAAUUGCUAUAAUUCUUUUUUUUGCACCGUGUAGUACUAACAUGUGACUGACUUAUUAGUCACAAACCGUUAGUGAAAAAGUUUGAACUAUUUAGCGAUGUCUCAAUCAGUUGGACUUCAUGUCCAUAUGUGACCAAGUAGUUUUAGGCUGAUAAGUAUCACUAGAACCAGCCGGAGAUUUGACCUCUCGGAACAUAAAAAGCAGAGGCUUACUUCAGUAGCACGUGGUCAGUUCCCCUCACCGGCUACCAUCUGUCUCGGAUUUUGAUUUUUUUCAGGAGAUUUUAGGAUAGAAAGGCAGCUUUGAAGAGGGGUCGCAAAGAUCAAGGCUAUUGUGUCAAGUACUGUGCUCAAAACGUCCAUCGGGUGCAUCCAUCUCGCCCAGUUCAUCACCGACCACCAAGCGAUUUACAUCCACUGCGAUCAUGGAUGACCCCGUGAGACAUUGUCGCCGUCCUAUUCUUCCAGAUACAAUGGGUUGAUUAAUACGGUAUUUUGAUAUGCUAAUCAUGCUUUCGUUUCACUAAAUUCCAGAACAAUACUACUUACUAUCUACUAAUACUGUUCUGUCAACUGCAAAAAUCAGAAUUAUCGCAACAUUUUGGUGAUCUAUAUUCUAGCUUUUAGUAUAUGGUUUGUUUUAGAAGCAGAUAAGUGGUGAAGGGUCGUAUAUAGGAAUACUUGUUAUGCACGUCUAUCUACACUCUUCUCAGCCUGGAAAUCAUUACGUGCUUGCUGACUUGUUUUGCUCACAUUGCCGCUGAAACUGUGAGCGGUCCUUGCAUGUCUUGUGUAUUCACUGAAAGCAUCUAAAAUAUGGAGUUGCAGCAUGGCUACUAGCUGCUACUUUCAUGUUAUCAGAAGAAGGCCAAAGCUCUCAUUUUCUAGAUAUGUCGAGUUUAAAUAUGAAGGAUAUUUUAAGAACGGAUUUUUUAGCAUCAUAUAUCUAUAGCAAUUGUGUUCUGAAACGGAAUUGUUGGCUCCUAAUAAUAGUGUACUGAAUUCUCUCAAGUCCUUCCAGCUUUAGGGACUUCUCAAUUGGAUCUGCACAACCCAACAAAAUAAAUAUGCAUAGUGUCUGCGACACUUUCUUCCGAUCAUCAUGAAGGUAGUUGUAGGAGUAAAAAAGUAUGUCAUACUGUUUUUUCAGUACAAGCCAGAGACUGUCGAGAAAGAAAGGCUAGGACAGGUAAUACUUGUUUUUACAAUACUUGCGCAAAAAGUAUGUGAUGCUGUUUUGUUCUAGAGGAUUUUGAUGAAUUUUACAACCUUCUUUUCAGUCGUAUACCCCAAGAAAUGGUCUGCUUUCAUGGGGCUUAUUUAAUCCAAGAAAGAAAUGUGAGUAGUAGCAAAUUAGACAUGAAAAGUUUCAGAGAACUAUUAAAACUCCGGUCAGUUUUGUCAGGAUCUUGUGACCCAGUUCCAGGACUCUAUUGACUAAGGUAAUGAUAUAUCUGUGUGAUUUAUCCUGUUAAAACUUUAGUGUUCACUUAAAGGUGAGUGCAACCAGUAACUAAAUUUAGACUACGAACUAGAGUAGGACAGUAAAGUGAGGAGCAAGAUGGAGAACACACGGGACAUUAAGGACUAAUGGUCAACACUUAAAUCUUGCUUUAUAUUCAGUUCAGUUCCAAGUAGUCUGAUACAUAGAUGGAGAUGUGAGUGCUGAUUUGGGGUUGAUUUUGGUAAUUAUAUAUUUUCCUUGAUGACUGUCAUUUUGUUGUCCUACAUGUGCCAUAUGAUAUGCAUAACAACUUGACAGCACCUUUGCUGCUCUUGAUGUGCUUCGUCAUGCAGCUUUUUAUAGUGUACAAGCAAGCUUGCGAGUGAUGACAACUACUAUGACCUACAAACCUUGAAUCAAGGUUUUUGGGGUUGAACAUAGGGGCACUGCGCGCUCUCCCAUCUAGCCAGUGAAGCAUAUGAAAGGAAAAGCUACAAUGUACAAAUCGUCACCGUCAUUCAGUUUGUCCAAAACUGAGAAAAGCUCUUUUAAAAAAAAUGGGAAAAGCUCACGUGAUGGAAUGAUAUGAGAUUUCAACAUCAUGAUUGUGUUUUAUAAUUUGAAUGACCAAAGUAGAUGGUCCAGUCAGCCCGUGUUUGACAAUAUGAAGGGACAAGCUUGUUGAUCCAUUAUCUGGACAGGAAAAUACCAUAAUUCGGAGGGCUUAGGUAGGGGUAAUAGAUCUGACCUAAUCUAGCAAGGUGAGUGACUCAAUUGCACAUGUGCAAAAUGGAAGUUUAAACUUACUUGAAUCUCUUGUAGGGUUUGGGGGAGAUUGUCAGCGAGCCACUGAUGAAAGUCCUUUUGCGAUGACAAUGAUAGAGAAGAUUUGAAAGAUCUCGGUUGGCGUGGGGCAACUUGUGUACUCCUGGAUGGGGGCGCCGUCCGGUGGCAGUUGCCGCAGCUGGGCACAGCCAGGAGGCGUUGGUGUCACCAUUGUACUACAUCACACAUUUUUCUUGCGGUGAAGGCUACACUCAGAUAUAUGAUUGUGUUACUGUUAUUUUCAUCAACAACCUACCACGACGGUCUGGGAGCUGAUGAAAGUUAGCUGUAAAGGCUACACUCAGAUAUAUGAUCUUUGCGGUGAAGAAAAACAUGAAAAAUAAUGCAACUAUACCCUUUAAUGGGAUUAUUCCAUCAUUGAUUAUCUGAUUUAAUUAGAACAGGAAUGCACCUGCUAUGUGACUGGCACAAAAAUUAUUGGAGGAAGUUUGCUCUCAUGCUUACACAUUUUUUUAUUCCUUUUCCACUAUUCCUCACUGCAACCUCAUGGUAGCACUAUUGUUGCUCUGUAACCUAAUAUAGCUAUUUGAUAAUCUAUUUAUUUACUUGUAUGAGCUUGAAUUCUAAUUCUUAUUACCACAGACCACAAGUUGUAUGGGCUUAUUUAACCUACUAUCAUGUACCCAUUAUUCAGUUAUGUCUAUUGCAUUUUGUUUUUCAUUAGGCUUGAAAUUUUAGACCUGAAAUUGAUCUUCGUCAAAAUUAGUUAUUAUUGUGGUUACUCGGAUCGAGUGGACUGUAUAACUUUAUUGUUGUUGUUACUCCAUGAACUAAUAUGACCUUUGCAUCGAACCUUUUCUCCAGUAGAUGGAGCUGUUGAUCUUUGUAUGUUUCGGUAGGCCCUUGUGAAGGAUCUUCACACUAAAGGCUCCUCAUGUUCUCAAGAUUAUUCAAGCAGUAAGCUGUGAGAUGAAUUUCUUUUUGGUUUCCUUUUGUUUCAGAGAAAGCAACGGACUCUAUGCCAUAUGGUUUCCCUUUUGUUGUUGAGCAAGCAACUAACUGUAUCUCUCAAGCAAUUUACUCAUACGUUUGAUUGGAAAGAGACAACAACCAUUUGUUCUGCGACACUACUAUCUGACAGGUACUCAAUAUUAUACUAAUCGUCAAUGCUAUAGAAGUAUUCAUCCAUGAAUAAUGAGACUGAAGCCCAUUUGAGGUAAUGAGACUUUGUCCCGAUUCCAGAGAUGUACUAAAUUCUGAAGUUUGUUGUAUGACACUACUAUCUGAGAAGUAUAUUUUUUGACACUUACUUAAGUGUAUUGGAUUGGGUAAACUAAUUAGCCCUAUGUAUCAGUUUGUGGUGUGCGUUCUAAUGUGUGCUUUUGUUGUUGUUGUCAUUGUCCUCAAUAGAUCAUUCAAAUGUUGGAUUCAUGGCUUGCUAGAAUAGAUGAUUUGUGAAUCCAAUGUGUUCUUUUGCUGUUGUUGUUAGGUUGUUAAUUCAUCAAAGGCGGCUACCGAGUAUACAUACUGUGUUCAUAUCGCCUGCCUUCUUAGGAAAAAUCCUGUACUGAAGAUGCUCACGGAGUUGCGGAGAAUGGCUCAUUUUUUCAGCCCAAUUGUGACACAUAUCAUACCAGGCCAAAGUCUUUUCCGUGUCGUCUAAAUCUAUCUUGUAUAUCUGAUCACCGAGUGUUUUUUUUCCUAUACCAAGUAUCAUUCGAAGGGGCGACAUACCCAAUUCUCAGAUCCCUCAAGCAACAGAUGUAGUGUUGUCAGUCUCUGUGGAUGUGAAUCCGUCUGCUCCUAGGCAACAAUAGAGGGAUGAUUGGGAUAUACUGAGGGUUAGUGGAGUCAGUCACCAGCCUCUCUGUUGUUUCAACAACAGCAUCAAGCGGCGCUAAAACAUGUCAGUUACUUUCAUCUUGGGCAUAGCCAACCUUAUUGGUGGACUGACCCUCAUUUUUCACAAUAUUGCUGAUCUGAGAGACAUAGGAGACAUGAACGAGGAAAAAAAUGAGAAGGUCGGCCACUAUUGGUCCUAGCACUAUUGUCACACAUGGUGUUUGGGCCACUUCCACCGGUGCUCCGCGGGUUGUCGUUUCACGAGAGCAAUGACUGGGAGAACAAGAUGAUGAACGUCACCGGUGCUUCGCUCGCGUGCAUCGCGCUGCUUGCGCUCGGGACGUGCAUGUCCACAAAAGAGCCAUGACAUACUUCAAGACUCUAAUUUACUACCUGACCAUUGCCGUGAGCUUGUCCGGAAUAUCGUACGUUGCCGGUGUGCUGAUCACGAGGCUUCUCAAACACUUUGGUACCAUCGAUCUAGGUGGUGCAUUGGCUCCUCAUGCUUCUCUAGGCCUGUUGUUCUCUCAUUUAGGUCGUGCACAUACGUCUGACCGAGGGCUCAAUCUGAAGGCUUAAGUUCCUCGGAGCAUUGAUGGUAUAAAAAAGAGAAGACAUGUGUGAGUUCAAGAGAAAGUGCAUGAAGAAACAUCCCAAUCUUUUUGAGUUGCUACCUGCUGUUUUGUUAAAAUUCUGGUGUAGAUACUAUCAUUUAUGUCAAAAUGUGUUAUCUUGGUCACUCGAGCUCAUCUCUAUCGUCGAAUAUUACUAUCAGUUAUUUUAGAGCAGGGAAAAUUACAAGUCCAGUCUUUCCUUCCUUUUUCUGAGGAAAAAGAUGCCAUUCUUUGGAAGAUUGUGAAGAAAGCA